rnacentral:rRNA from 1 species
UACCUGCAGCUCGAGUGGUAACCGCUAUUAUUGGGCCUAAAGCGUCCGUAGCCGGUUUGGUAAAUAUCUGGGUAAAUCGUGAGGCUUAACUUCACGAAUUUCGGAUAGACUGCCAGACUUGGGAUCGGGGGAGGUCAGAGGUACUCCAGGGGUAGCGGCGAAAUGUUGUAAUCCUUGGAGGACCACCGGUAGCGAAGGCGUCUGACUAGAACGAGUCCGACGGUGAGGGACGAAGCCCUGGGGCGCAAACCGGAUUAGAUACCCGGGUAGUCCAGGGUGUAAACGAUGUGGGCUUUGUAUCGGAGGUCCCACGUGGGCGUCCAGUGCAGAAGAGAAGUUGUUAAGCCCACGCCUGGGAAGUACGGUCGCAAGGCUGAAACUUAAAGGAAUUGGCGGGGGAGCACAGCAACGGGAGGAGCGUGCGGUUU